AUUGAACGCUGGCGGCAUGCUUUACACAUGCAAGUCGAACGGUAACAGGUUAAGCUGACGAGUGGCGAACGGGUGAGUAAUGCAUCGGAACGUGCCCGGUCGUGGGGGAUAACGCAGCGAAAGCUGCGCUAAUACCGCAUACGAUCGGAGGAUGAAAGCGGGGGACCGUAAGGCCUCGCGCGAUCGGAGCGGCCGAUGUCAGAUUAGGUAGUUGGUGGGGUAAAGGCUCACCAAGCCGACGAUCUGUAGCUGGUCUGAGAGGACGAUCAGCCACACUGGGACUGAGACACGGCCCAGACUCCUACGGGAGGCAGCAGAGGGGAAUUUUGGACAAUGGGCGCAAGCCUGAUCCAGCAAUGCCGCGUGCAGGAAGAAGGCCUUCGGGUUGUAAACUGCUUUUGUACGGAGCGAAAAGGCUCUCUCUAAUACAGGGGGCUCAUGACGGUACCGUAAGAAUAAGCACCGGCUAACUACGUGCCAGCCGCCGCCGUAA
rnacentral:rRNA from 1 species